CGCGUAGGCGGCGUUUUAAGUCGGGGGUGAAAGCCUGUGGCUCAACCACAGAAUGGCCUUCGAUACUGGGACGCUUGAGUAUGGUAGAGGUCGGUGGAACUGCGAGUGUAGAGGUGAAAUUCGUAGAUAUUCGCAAGAACACCGGUGGCGAAGGCGGCCGACUGGACCAUCACUGACGCUGAGGCGCGAAAGCGUGGGGAGCAAACA
rnacentral:rRNA from 1 species